rnacentral:misc_RNA from 1 species
AGAAAUGAAGCAAAAAAAUUUGAAAUUUGUUGUUGCAAAAGCUGUUUUUUAUGUUAUUAACUAGGCAUAGAAUACAAUGGCUCAUUCUUCCCCAUCUGUUGAUUAUCCGUCUACUUUUUAUUUUGUUCCAAGUUUUUCUUGUGCUUAGCCUCAUUUCAAGGUAGUCUAAAUAUUUUGUUUAAGCUUUGGAGUUCAACGGCUUCUUCUUUGUUUCCACU